GGUAGCUGAUGCAACCCUGGUGCUGGUGGGAACUGUCUAUUGCAAACAAAUCAGGAGGGUGGAUAAAGGCAUACCUUUUUACCAAGUUCCUUCAGUGUCUUGUGACUGCUGGCUAUGACUGCAGAUGCUGAGGGCGUGCUGAGCUAGCUCUGAAUUAGUCAGCAGGGAUAAUUUUAGGGCAGCUCAAAGAUCAACGCAAGCUGCAAAAUUUACCCAAGAAGAUUGUAGAGCUGUGGGAUCCUGCCUACUGCCAAAGCCUUCAUGUGCGAAUACAUGAAACUGGUCACUUGUAAGCUGGUCUCCGUCAGCAGCGAGCUGGCCAUGGCUACCACGAUAGGAAGAGAAGGCUUUGUUUCAAAGAGGACAAUGCAAGCCGUCAUGCGCACAUUAGGAGCAAGUGUGCUGUCCAUAAAAAUUUGGAGAGCGAUCCCCCUUACCUAGAGGAGGAAGAUACAGCCUGUGAAUACCUCACAAUUCCUCAGGAAAAAGUGUGUCCUAAACUGUGCGUGUCUGAUCUGCAGUGAAUGGUGAACAAAACCCUAAACAAAACACUGAGCAUGAAGCCCAUCACUGAAAAUGAAGAUAUUGCUACGUGCACAAUAAACAGAGAUGGAAGAACAAGCCAUUAGCAACAGAGUGUUAUAGUGACUGAAGCAAUCCCCUUCCCUGGAUGUCAACAAGGAUGGGGUAAUAUCAGGGAUCUGCAACAUGGGAAAGAGGAAAACCAGUUACUACAAAAUCUGCCCAGAGUUCCUAAUGUCACCCGAUGGCUUUACUAUCCCUUCAUCACUAAGGCAGCCCAA
rnacentral:lncRNA from 1 species